rnacentral:rRNA from 1 species
UACGUAGGGUGCAAGCGUUAAUCGGAAUUACUGGGCGUAAAGCGUGCGCAGGCGGUUUUGUAAGUCUGUCGUGAAAUCCCCGGGCUCAACCUGGGAAUUGCAUUCGAGACUGAAUAGCUAGGGUACGGUAGAGGGAAGUGGAAUUUCCGGUGUAGCGGUGAAAUGCGUAGAUAUCGGAAGGAACACCGGUGGCGAAGGCGGCCUUCUGGACGGAUACUGACGCUGAUACGCGAAAGCGUGGGGAGCAAACAGG